rnacentral:rRNA from 1 species
CUUAGUACGGCGAGUGAGCGGCAAAAGCUCAAAUUUGAAAUCUGGUACCUUCGGUGCCCGAGUUGUAAUUUGGAGAGGGCAACUUUGGGGCCGUUCCUUGUCUAUGUUCCUUGGAACAGGACGUCAUAGAGGGUGAGAAUCCCGUGUGGCGAGGAGUGCGGUUCUUUGUAAAGUGCCUUCGAAGAGUCGAGUUGUUUGGGAAUGCAGCUCUAAGUGGGUGGUAAAUUCCAUCUAAAGCUAAAUAUUGGCGAGAGACCGAUAGCGAACAAGUACAGUGAUGGAAAGAUGAAAAGAACUUUGAAAAGAGAGUGAAAAAGUACGUGAAAUUGUUGAAAGGGAAGGGCAUUUGAUCAGACAUGGUGUUUUGUGCCCUCUGCUCCUUGUGGGUAGGGGAAUCUCGCAUUUCACUGGGCCAGCAUCAGUUUUGGUGGCAGGAUAAAUCCAUAGGAAUGUAGCUUGCCUCGGUAAGUAUUAUAGCCUGUGGGAAUACUGCCAGCUGGGACUGAGGACUGCGACGUAAGUCAAGGAUGCUGGCAUAAUGGUUAUAUGCCGCCCGUCUUGAAACACGGACCA